UUUGAAGAUGAGUUCCUAAACAUGUUAAAAGAAAGGUAUCUCUCUAUGAAGAGUACAGAUGGUGAAUUUGAAGUAAUCCACAUCUAUGUAUCUGACACUGAUGAUGUUGUAGACCCGCCGGCCUGGUUUGUGUAUCAUCUGCCAAAAGGCUUCCGCUAUGCUUCUGAUAUUAUACCUGCUGACUUUGAUAAACGAUACUUUAGACAAGAAGAGAUUUACGAUGUUGGAGAUACGAGAAGACUUCUUGCUUUUGAUCGAGAUGGAAUGAUCGUCAGAGACUCGGCUUUUCCGACGAUUGAAGAUAUGAAUUUCCCCUUCUACACCAGGGGGUUGGAAAAGGAAGCCUUACUAGAAUUAGAUUCUGUGUUCCAUUGGUAUGAAUGGGAAGACGCUGAGAGUUGGAACCGUGAGGCAGGGUAUAUUGGACCAAACCAGUCUUGCGGACGAUCGGUUGGAUCCAUUUCCGCCUUGGGCGUCAUUAGUUUUGAGUCAUGAUGGGUUGAAGCAUGCUGAUAGUUAUUAGAAUAUAAUAAAUUGAAGUGUUCUAUUAUUUUAUGUAUUAUUAGUUAUUUGAAGGAUGGAUUGGAUGCUGAAAAAGUAAAAGUUUCUCACUAGACAUCAUUUUAUGCAUCAAACUUUCAAUGUCAAGUAAAAGUUUCUCACUUUGCAUCAUUUUAUGCAUCAAACUUUCAAUGUCAGAACUAAUAAGCUAAGGAUAGUGUCAGAUCAAUUAUAAAAUGAUGAGCAUUUGUGUAAUAUUUGCUGUAUGAAUUCUACACCCUGUGGUCAUUUACUGAACUUAAAAUAAAUCUAUCUAUUAUAUGAGAACAUGUUUUUCUGUACUGAGCAAAUUUAUUCAGGUAAGGAAAUCCCGGCCUAUUUACCAACCUAUCCUGUCCAACUGAUGCAUGCUCCUUCUUAGACCCAGUCUUCCAACGAACUGAUCCCUCCCACCAGGGGCUCCAUUCUUCUUCUACGAUCUGGCUAGAUGAGGUCGAUUCUAGUGAUUGGUUCAGGUAAGCUCGUUAUGAUGCUGGCAUCCUGCACUCCAGUAAAUUAUUAGAAGGUGAGGAAGCUUUCAAUCUCAUGUCUGUUUGUCCUCUCCCCACAGGAGCCUGAUGAAGGUUUGGGAUUUCUGAGCAAAAAGAAAUUGACAUUUUUUAUUAUGAUUUACAAACUUGAAUUGAAUUCAUAGUUUGGUAAAAUUAUUAAUGUUAUUUUUUCUUUUCACUAAUUCAAUAUAUAUGUUUCCAAGCCUGAAACUCGGGGUUGCGUAUGUUCUUUGGGUAUGUACUUACAGAAAUUCAGAUAAAGAAACCAAAGCAUGAAUAAUUAAUAGAGAUUGUUGCUAAGUUGUACAUUUUUGUUUGGUCUGUUGAGGAACAUUUGCGUUUGUCAAGUUUUCUGUGGAGGACAUAUAUUUCAAAUAGCACUUGUAGUGUGUAAGUGUUUGUUAUACUGAUUGAAAUGACUUUUAAGAUUGCAAGUAUAAUUAGGCCAACAUACAGCAAUAUUUUUUUUUUAUAAUUGUGUGUCUAAUAGAUCUCCUGAAUAUUAAACCGUAUACCUUAUUCUCGUAAAAAUUUGAAGCCAAACAGCAGGCUUUUAGGUAUAAAUUUGGGCAAUGACUUGGAUAUGUGUAUUUAGAUUCUUAUACAUGUCUGAAGUUAAUAAAGUUAUUAGAAGUUAUAUAUGAGAUAUAUAUUAACUGUUAGAUUAUCAACCUUUGUUUUUACAGAUAUAUAACUUAUUCAAAGGAGGAAGAAGCAGUUCGUUGCAUUCAGUCAGUGUAUGGUUACACAUUGGAGGGUAGACCAUUAAGGUCUGAUUCUAUUGGCUUUAGUGGAGUGCAGCAGUAAUGGUAUCUGUUUGCUUAUUUACUAUUCUUGUGUUGCAGAGCCUGUUUUGGAACCACAAAAUAUUCCCAUGCAUGUCUGAGGAGUGUGGUAUGGUCCUUAAUUUAAUUAAUUGUGAGUAAUUCGACUAUGGGGGCAUAAUGUAAUGGAAGGGUAUAUAUUCGCGGACUAAUAUAUUUCUGAAUUAAAUUCUGACUGUAAUGCUAUUUUGUUAGAUGGAAAAGAACUUGAUGGUUCAAUUACCACACCACUAAAUUCAAUUCCACUACACGUUUACAAUGGUGUAAUAAAUGUUUGUAAGCAUAGAGCACACGAUAGUUUAUGGAGUAUCUUGUGGUAGGUACGAGUGCUACAUAAUUUAAUUGGAUUUGUCAGAGUCGAAUAUUCAAGCUAUACUUUGUCCACUUAUGUUGUUUAACCAAUUAUUAUUUGUCGAAGUUGGGUCUUCGGUAUAUGUAGAUUCCUCAUUUUUCUGACUUUGCUAAUUACGGAAGAACUUUACAACUUUUACUCUAUUUGUAUACCUUGCACAGUGAUUUCUUUUAAUUUUUUUAGCUUUUACAUGAAUAUGCCUCAGGUGUAUGUAUGUUAGACAGUUAAGAUUGGUGAAAUCCUUGCGCUAUUUAUGGAACUUCAGACCUUGGGUGACAGGAAUUUGCAGUUUGCUUUCUUAUUUCAGUUUACGAGAGUGUAUUAUCUUUUUUUUGAUUGAUUUUAGGCAAAUAAUACGGGGACGAUGUCAAGCAAAAUGAAAAAGAAAGCAAAAUUGCAGCGUGUCAUUCGUAGCAUGAAAAAACAGCAGCUCCAGUCUUCAGAAAAGACUACAAGCUCCAGGUCAUAUUCACCUCUUAACCAUUUAAAUGAUGCUCAGGUAAUAAUAAUCAUCUGAGGUUUUGGUGAUCACUGAUACUCUGCAGUUUUAGGAGAGCAAGAUAACUCAUCAUACUUAUAUUUUGUUGUCAGGGAUUUGUUGAAAAGCUGUAUUCUCGUCUCCAAACUGCAGACAAAUUUGAGGUAUUCAGACUGAUGUGUAAUGUUUAGCUUUUUCUUUCUAAUUUAUUCAAGAUCCAAUCUGCACCCUUUUAACACCAUUUUAUGUGUCACAGAAGUUAUUAUCUAAAUUGCUUUAUAACCUUUAUUUUUUCUAUUAUCUGUGCUUGUUUCAUUUCCACAAUCUCUAUCAGUUAUGCUGUUUAGUGUCUUCUUAGUAUACAUCUGAUAAUGUGAAACUUUAGCACAGCGAACUGUAUUGUUUGAAAUCUGUACCUUUUAUGUAUGUAUUGUAUUGAAUAAAAAUCAUCAUUACGCGAUCAUGAGCAACAGAAAGCAGCUAUUGAUAACACAAAAUAUUAAAAUUCGUUUUAGUUCUAUCUGAACCCAGAUAAUCUAUGAUGACCAAUAAUACAUGGUAAUGACUUAAAUGUUUAUGGUUUAAUUCUUAAAAGUUUAUAAUUUUAACAGUUCAGUCUUCCCAAGACAACUUUACUGCCCUGAAGCAGGUUUUGGAAAAUUAGAGAGAAGUGUUACAAAGUUGACAGAAAUAUUCCUUGUGCACUGUAAGAUAAAAGGAAAACCGGAUUCUGCAGAAACUGUUGUGUUGGUCGAUGGCUAUUUGACAAAGCGAGCCUGUUGCUGGUUUUCACGCUUAGAUAUGCAGGUCGGUGAUUAUGUAAUAUAAAGGAGAAAAUGCAAUUAACUUUACUUAUGAUUUAAAAGGACAUCCUUCUUGUCAUUUCAGUUGUUGUGGGAUAUUGUCCAUUUGGAGAACAGGAACAGGCAUUGCAAUAUUUUACUGAACUACCUCGGUUUCAUCACACAUGUGUGACUUUUUGAAAGGUUUAUUUGUUUUUAUAUAUAACCAGUCUUGUUUUGAUCUGAAUUUUACUGCUAAUAUAUUUUUCCCUGGUGAUUCUCAGGGUAAAUGUUGUGUUUCGUCCAGUUUCAACCGUUUCUGUUCCUAUGAACUUCACAAUAUGAACAUAAUCAAGGUGAUAAAGAGUCAUAUUGUUACAUAACAGUUUAAUGAAUAUUUUGGUUCAAGUACUUCAUGAUAUGUUUUCUUGUUUUGUAGAAUUUACCAGGCGUGGAUGCUCUCACUGCAUUUGCAUAUUUCUUUGAUGCUGAGUCCACAAGGAAGUACGUAAGUUCAAGAAGUUUGGCAGAGGAAAGACAAGUAAGUUCACAAAAAGUUUUGUAGUCCUUCAUUUCCUGGACUUGGUUGCUUGUCUCCCCUAAAACCUGCUAGCUUAAAAGAGUAUUUGGCUGCAAUUUCCUGAAAUGCUUUACUUGAGAGUCUCUAUUUUUCUUCCAUUACUUUUAAAUGGUUGAAUAUAGAACUGUAAUAUCCGAAAUUGUGUCUUCUCAAGCAAACAGAUUACUGGCAGUUGAUAGUACUAUGCCAAAACCAGAGUAGAACUCAUGAAUUAGAAAAUUUCAUCAUAGGAUCAGCUUUGCAUAAAUUGAUGAUUUGCUUUACCAUCCUUUCCUUAUGCAACACUAAUUUAAUACUUUGAAUUUGAAUGCACGGGACGCUAAUCUACUUUUGCAGUUCAAAGUGUCCAAAUGUCAUUGUUACAACUUAAAACUGUAAAGACAUAUUGAAGAUUGAAGUACAACACCAAGAAAAUAAGUACUCAAUUAAUUUCUAUUUACAUCUCGUGUAGUAUCUGAAAGAAUAUAUAGCUUGAACCAUUAUGUGAAUUUUUCCCUUAUAUAGCUGCUGUUUGGUGCAGAUAAGCAGCUUACUUCUAGGUAGUAUGCUAGAUGUGGUAGAGGAGGUACAAUUAGCUCGGUUAGAACUUCGUAAUCUCAUUCAGUGUAUCUUCUGCUCUGAGUCAGGUAACUUCUGUCCUUCUCCACUUGAAAGUUUCUUUUCGCAGGCCAAGUUACCCGGACACGGGUAUGGGUAUCGGACACGGGUACAGAUCCAAGAGUCAGAUUCGUAGUUUUAGGAUAAUUAGGAUUCGUGGACAUGGAUCCGGAAUUAGACUCGGGUACGGGGACUUGGCACUUAAGCUCCAUGCAAGUAAAACUUUAUAUAGACUAGUCUAUUGUACAUUCAUAAAAAUAGUGUCUACUGCACAUAAAUCACAUACGCUGAAAAUUGAAGCAUAAAAUCAAUAGAACAACAUAGAAACAAGUCAUUCAUGGAUCUUGAUCUCUUCAAACAAGUUGAAACAAGACCUAAGUUUUCAUUUUGACCUGGGAUGUUACAAGGUGAGGUGUCCGGUUGUAAUAAGAAGGAUCCGACAAAGUGCGAGACUCACUUAUGGCCAAAUGCUUAGUUAAAGUUACUUUGUCCUUUGCUAGACUUUAAUGCUAAAUAUGAGAAUCUUUGUAUUGAGAUGAACUGAUGGUGCCUCAUGCCUGUGUCGCUUGAUGGAGCAUAGGAGCAUGCAUCGGUUGAAAUAUUGUAGUUAUUAAUUGUCCCUCUACUGUGCUAAUAUGGGAGGCUGAAUCUCUCGUGAAUCAAAGCAUAAUAAUCCUUCAUAUUUUUUCUAAUGUUAACCGUGUUUACAUGCAAUUGUAGUUAAUUUCCAUUUUUUGUGCAGUUGAACAGCUUGAUUUGCAGCUUUAUUUCCUUAAUCUUAAAAGUGGUAAAAGAGCAAUCUUUACUUUUGACUUGUCCUGUUUAAAAGGUACAGAGCCUUACUUUUGAAUAUUGAUUGUUUCUACUUUCCGCUAUUAUAAAUUAUUAUUUACCUUAUUCCUAUUAUCUUCCCGGGUGGUAAUAUUGGACCCGACACGAAUUCGACCCAUAAAUACGAAUUCGGGUUGGAGUUUUUCAAGUUCGGGUCGAAUUUGGGUUGACCAAACUACUAGGAUAUAUACGUACUCCCUCCAUCCCAAAUUAGAUGGCCCCGUUGACUUUGGGCACACAAUUUAAGGUUCAUUGACCGCAUAGAUACGUGAUUUAUUUUUAAAAUUUUAUUUUUGCAAAUAAAAAUUAAAAUAUGAAAUUUUUAUUUAUAAAAGAAAAAAUAAAAAAAUAAAUUUCGGAAGUAGACGGUCAAUGCAUCUAAAGUUACGUGCCCAAAGUCAACGGGGACAUCUAAUUUGGGAUGGAGGUAGUAUUUGAGAAGUCAUAAAAGUUGCAGAAAAUGAAAGUCCUGCCUAACGAUGGAAAGUCUCGAAAUUAAAACUGAAUUUUUUAUUGGAAGGAAAGAUAUGCUAGAGAAUGAAAAGAUUGGUAAUGAUGGUAAAUAUCGACUAGGAGGAAGGAACGUACCUCCUAUUUACAUAGAAAUGAUUGAAUUUGCUGUUAUAGGUGAUAGGUAGCUUUGUAUAUAAACUCUCUUUAGUCAUUGUAAUUCUAUAUACAUAUUUGAGUGAUUGCAAGUUGAAUUAGGUUAUCGUGAAGCUUUGUAUUUUGUACAUAGAGAGUUUGUGUAUUGAGUUUGUAAUUGCAAGAGUUGCUGGUGCAACUACUAAGGUUUCUGUACGCAUUUGUAAAGAAAGUUUUAACUUGUUCAUAUAUAUACAUAUAGUUGUUUUUAUCAUUGUGUUUAUUGAUUAUUCGUUGCUUGAAUAUUUGUUUUAAUAAUUGAUAAACGGACAUUGUUUUACGGUACUCAUAUUCAACCCCACCUUGUACAAGUACAUUGUUAGGAAUAUGUUAGGCUUGAUGAUAAGUUAAAACAGUUAGUGUAAUUUUGGUUAAGUAAAUGUAGCGACCAAUUUGUAAAUAUUUAAUAUUCUAAGUAUGUAAACUACUCAAGUGAAGUGAAGAUUAACGACUAAAUCUAAGCUAUCAACGGAUGAGGAAUAAAAUUUCAUCAACGACUAAUACAGAUAAGCUAUCAACUGAUAAUAAGAAGCAAUUAAUGGCCAAGUCAUGAAAGCUAUUAACAGCUAUCACAUUGGUUUAUUAUUUGCUAAAUCAAGCAUUAUCAGUUGACAGCUACAAUAGAGAAAAAAGACAACAGUCAUAUGGGAUGGGAUGAUCAAAUAAAGUUUAAUUUGUUUCGGAAGCUAAGACAAGUAAAGGCUAGCACUAUGUUGAUCAAAUAUAUGUGUUGGAAGAAGAUGAAGAAUCAUCUUUUCGAUAUACAAUUUCAGUAGCAACAUCUUUCUUUCUGAAGAAGAUGAUUAAUGAAUGGAUGAGCUGAUUAUCCUUCUGGAUUUUCUUACAAUGAGUUACCCAUGACUUUGGAAGAACUUUAACUAGCUCGUUUUUAAAAAUUUGCUUUGGCACAUGAAUACAUGAGCUUGGUUGAGCAUCAAAUUGUAGAAAUAGUGCAUUAUUUGUAUCUCAGGGAAGACUGGGGUCAAAUAAAUGGUUUUGAAAUAUUCUAUAGGUCAUUUAAUACAGAAGACUGGCAAUAUAAGUUUUUGAAAUUUGCAGUGCUCCAAUAAUCUGAAGCUAAACUUUGAGAUUCUUUUAGAUAAAAGGGUCACCAAGCCUCAAAUUGAAGUUUGGGAAAAGCGUUACAAAAAUUGUACCAGCUUUUAACGUGGUUUGAACAAUAGCUGCUUAUGCACCAAAAGUGUCAUCCUUGCAAAAACUAGUAGUCAUUUCCUUCAUAGAGGGUUAGAGGCAUUCUAACAGCUCCAAAAUGAAGUUGAGAAAAGUUUUGCAUCCGUCACUGCUUUGGCAACGAAUCUCCCAACAAAAUAGAAAGAAUAUGGACUUGCUCGAGCUUUGAAAUCAAGACUAGAUCUUUAGCUUCUAAAUAAGAAGAAAGAACAUUAUGUUUUUUAGUGAAAGCUCGAUAUGGGUUUAGCAAAGAAAGUUAUGUGAUAGUAAUCUUAUUAUCUUCAUUGUUGUAAUUUAUAGAUUCAAGAAAAUCACAUUUUUUAUUGAGAGGAAGAAAAGAGUUCUUAGAAGAAAAAAAAGGAUGAAGAAGAUAGUUGGUCGGCUUAGGGACAACUUGAUAGAUAUCAAUCUAGCAUAUCAAUAAUACGAUGAUACUUGUAUUAAUAUCUUUAUCAUAAAAGAUAAGAUUCUUUAUUUAAAAUUAUUACUUCCAUUUUACUAUAUAUUUCCACACAUUUUUAUUGGACUAUAUAUUUUCUUCCAUUGGACUAUAUAUUUUAAAAGAUUUUUGACUAACCUGUGUUAUUGGACUAUAUAUUUUCUUACAAAAUAUCUAUAUAUUUUUAAAAGAUUUUUGACAAUCAAGUCGAGACGUAAUUCUUGAUUAUGAGUUCCUGAUAUAUCUAUAAGAGGUGUAAAAUUUUUCAAUUUAGGCAAAGUUUCGGUUUCUUGAAUAGAAAUCCACUCCGAAUCCUUAUGUAGGACUCCAGGUUGAAGUUAUGGAUUAUUUGGUUCAUGGGCGUCUAGAAUCAGGUAUGGAGUUUGUUCAUUCCAAAUUCAUAUCUAGUGUUUGGUUAGAGAAUAUAAAAUCUUAAACCCCCAAGAUAUGGGUUUUGAUACCCAAGUGGGGAGUUAGGUAUUAUGCAUUCAUUUUUAAUUUUUUUGGCCUUUAUUUAAGUAAUGAAAUAUUAAUAUUAUAUACAAAAUUAAAUCAAUGAUGCAAAAAAUAACUUAUUAAUAACUUAAUAACUUAAUAUAAAUUAAUAACUUAUUUUUUACAAAAAUAAUGUAUAUAUAAAUUUCAACACUCAACGAACACAUGAUAUCAUAUAUGAUAUCUCAAAGGAUCAAACUCAUAAAUUCAUACCCAACUUAACCCGAUUACUCCUUCCACCACAUGUAACUCCUCGAAACCAAAUACAGUCUUUAUUUUCAAACCGAAUUUGGGUUACUCAACCCAAUAAAGUCUUUAUUUUCAAACCGAAGUUGGGCUCCCAUCAUGAAUUCUGGGCUUAUAUUUAAUUAAACAUCAAGUAUAAUUAAAUAAUUUAUUUUAGAUCAUAUAAUUAUAAAGUAUGAAAUUAAAUAUGGGGAAAACCCCAAAAGUUCAAAUUUAGGGAUGAAUAAUUUUUUUCUUUUUAAAAGAAAAUUCAUUUUAAAAUUUGAAAUGCGGAGAAGAAUUCUAAAAAUAUAAAAAUUGGGUAUAUUUUGUUUAUAAUCUAGGGAAAUCUACAAAACUACCUACCUUUUCUUUAAUUAUUUACAAAAAUACUACCUUCCAGAAUUAUUUUUAAAAAUACCUUUUCAUAAAAUUGUUUUUUCAAAAAUACUGUUUGCAACUUUUGCAACCUCAUUUGCAACUAGCCAGCCGUGUUGCAACCUCUUUUGCAACUUCAUCUGCAACUGAAUUUCUGAUUUCAAGUUCCAGUUUUCAAAUGUCAUUUUCGACCUCAUUUUCGGAAUCGAUAUAUAUAUAUAUAUAUAUCGAUUCCGAAAAUGAGGUCGAAAAUGACAUUUGAAAACUGGAACUUGAAAUCAGAAUUUGUAAUUGCAUAUAUGGUUGCAUAUGGUUGUAUUCAGUUGCAUAUGGUUGCAUUCAGUUGAUUCUAUUGUAUUCUAAUGGCCCCGCCAGGGGCACACCAUACAUCUGUUGUUACUUACAGUUUUCAGUUGCAUUUAGUUGCAACUGAGGUUGCAAAUGAAGUUGCAAAAGUUGCAACUGCAGUUGCAACCUCAUUUGCAACUUUUGCAACCUCAUUUACAACUAUAUAUAGUUUUCAGUUGCAUUAAGUUGCAACUGAAGUUGCAACUGCAGUAGCAACUGAAGUUGCAAAAGUUGCAACUGCAGUUGCAACUUUUGCAACCUCAUUUGCAACUUACUGUUUUCAGUUGAACUAGUUGCAACUGCAGUUGCAACCGUUGCAACUUUUCAUUUUUAUUUGCAACUUUUGCAACCUCAUUUGCAACUUUUACGGCUGCGCCGCCCAAGGUUGCAAAAGUUGCAAAUCGUAUUUUUGAAAAAAAAAUUUUAUGAAAAGGUAUUUUUAAAAACAAUGAAAAAGAUGGUAGUAUUUUUAAAAAAAUGAUUUUACAGAUGGGUAUUUUUAAAAAGAUCCCUAUAAUUUAAUAUGAUGAAUAUUUAUUGAAUCAUUAUAGAUUAAUUUUCUCUUUUCCCCUGAAUUUAUAAUUUUUUGUUUGUACCGGAAAAAAAUUGUUUCUUAUUUCCCAUGUUCUCAUAUUUAAAAAUAUUUUUCUCUAUAAAAAUAUAUUCUACUAUUCCCCUUUUUUUUUUUUGAUUUUCUAGUAUAUUUCUUAAAAUCAAUCUCUUAUUUCUAUAUUGAAUUUAAAUAUUAUUAGUUUUAUUAUAUAUUUCCUAUAAUCGAAAUUUUAAUUUCGUCCCUAUAUUCGAAUAUUCUCUUAUUCCCAAUUUUACUUUUUCAUUUUUUCCUAAAUUUGAUUUUUCUAUUUCUAUUAUUAUAAAAUGUUUUUCUAAUUUGUAAUAGUUUGAGUAGACAAAAUUCUAAUACAGUAAUCGCCUAUAGUAUUUUCUUGUUAAAUAGCCCUGCAAAUAUACAAUAUACAAUUAAAAGACAGUAGUAGUAAAAGAGAAAAAAGGAGAAAGAAAUGUUUCGACUGUUAGUUACUAGGAGGCCAUUGCGUAGUGAUUCACAUCAUCAUCAAUCUUUCUAGGAGGCCAUUGCGUAGUGAUUCACAUCAUCAUCAAUCUUUCGCCAUGGCGACAUUAAUCUCUUACUGUGUUCGUAGUGUUAAAGAAAGCGCGAAGGUAUUUUAUUGUAUUCAUUUCUAUCAAUUCUUUAUUUCUUCUGCACAUUCUUGACUCUGAAUAAUUUAUUGUAUUCGUUUUUAUCAGUUCUUGAUUUCUUUCUUGACUCUGAAUAAUUUAUUGUAUUCGUUCCUAUCAAUUCUUGAUUUCUUCUGCACAUUCUUGACUCUGAAUAAUUUAUUGUAUUCGUUUCUAUCAAUUCUUGUUUUUUUUCAUAGUGUCUCCGUCAAUCUUGAUUUGUUUUCUGUCUAAUCAUGUUCUGUUUGAUUUAACUGCUAUUGAUUUCAUAAUUACAGUUCUUGAAAACUAGGCACAUAAGCACAACUAUAUCUUCUGCUGCUAGACAUGUCCCUACAAGCCAGGGAUGCAGCUGGGAUUAUCCAGGUAGAAGAAAUAACCCUGUAUAUAAACAAUAAAACCACUGAGACAUUGCUUGUUUUCUGAUACUGUCAUAUACUCUCAGGGGUACUCUUGGCCAGGAAUAUCACUGAUCCAAGCACUCCCAGUGUAGCAGCAGUUCUCAGAGGUUCACAAAAUGUAUGCAGACCACCGAGAAGACCAAUCCCUGAGGAAGGUAAACACUAUACCAUAUAAGUAUGACAACAAUAAAACCUCCAACAUUCUUAAUUAAUUAUUAUUAUUGCGCUCUUAGAAACGAUUUACACUUGUAGAUAGACGACUAAUUCUAAGAAUCCAGAUCUUACCUGGGUACUUAAAUUUCAAUAUCCACUGCCUGGCCACGGCAAGGUACAACGAUCUAUCCAAGUACCUAACAGAUGAACAAAAAAGGAGGGACUCUGAAAAAAGAAGAAGUGAAUCUAAGCUAGAAAGCAUCUACGUCAGCGAACCUCAGCAGAAUGUCAAAGAAGUCGUCAUGGUAAUCACUUUUCACUUUAGGAAUUUAAAAUGUGAAACAUAGGCUUUUAAUUGAUUGUUUUUAUAUCUAUGAUUUAGGAGAUCAAAAACCUACCCUUCCGGAAGAGGGUAGGUUUUUUUACUUUGGGCGGAAAAAAUUCUCGCUUACAGUGGUGAAUUUUUUUGAAUAAUAAUUGACUAAUUUCGGUCAGAUUUAUGAAUUUGACUGUCAGCGGUCAAAUUUAUCCUUCCCAGACCUAAUAGCUUUCAUUACAUGUUAAAAUUUAAUUUACUUAAAAUUAAAUUUUAUGUUAAAUUUAAAAUAUAAAUAGAAUUAUAUUUAUCUUAGUCGUUCGAUUUUUUUUAAAAUUUAACUUGCAUGACUUUGUAAGAAAUAUUUAAUAAGAAGUACUACUCCUUAAAAUGAGAUUCAUUCCUAAUUAAUAAAAUAUUUUUUUUAAAUAAUUUUAUCAACAAUCCAACCAUACGGAUGCAAAGAUAUAUUGAUUUUAUUCACGUGAAAAAAUUCUUUAAAGAUUUGAAAUUUGACUUGCAUGACUUUAUAAGAAAAAUCCAGUAAGAAGUAAUACCUCUUAAAAUGAGAUUUAUUCUUAAUUAACAAAAUAAAUUUUUUAAAUAAUUUUUUCAACGAUCCAACCAUACAGAUGUUAAGAUAUAUUUAUUUUUGUCAUGUAAAAAAAUAAUUUAAAAAAUUGAAAUUUACCCUGCAUGACUUUAUAAGAAAAAUCUUGUAAGCAGUACUACUCCUUUAAAUAAGAUUCAUUCCUGAUUAACAAAAUAAAUUAUUAAAAUGAUUUUUACAAAGAUCCAACCGUAUGGAUGUUAAGAUAUAUUAAUUUUAGUCAUGUAAAAAAAUAAUUAAAAGAUUUGAAAUUUGACUUGCAUGACUAUAUAAGAAAAAUCCAGUAAGAAACGUACUACUCCUUAAAAUCUUUAGAUUCUGCUAAUUGUACAUUUUUGUUUGGUCUAUUGAGGAACAUUUGCGUUUCGUCAAGUUUUCAGUGGAGGACAGAUAUUGGAAUUAGUGUUAAGUUUUUAUCUUUCUAUCUAUAUUUGUGUUGCAGACUCACAACUGAAGCACUUGUUAGGGUUAGUAAAGAAUCUAACAGGACAUGGUUCUAAAUACAGUUUAUCAGAAUCCCAGUUAAGUGGCUGAAUUGUGACAGUGAUACUACAACUCCCAUGAUUCUUUUUUGACUACGCUGAUUGUUGAAAGCACUAAAAUGAUAUUAAAAAAGCAUCUAACAGAAGUAGUGGAAAGUUUAAAGUGUAAUCGCUAGAUAUGCUACAAUUAAGCUUUUUGCAUAAGUUAAACAUGGAAAAUUUUUGGUCAAGGCAGCUCAGUGUGAAAGGUUUUCAUCUAUGCAUAUAGCUUAUGUUGAUGUCUGCAGAUAUUUUGUUGACAUAGUUGUUAUGAUGACAUAUAAUAUUUCUCAUGGAUAGGUUGUUGUCUAAGUUGAAUGUGGAGAAGAAAGUGAAGUCAAAGUUGGUGGUAGAAAGAAUCUAAUUAGUGUUCGAGUGAGAAUUUUGUCUACAUUGUGGGGUUACCUCUUACUUUGGUAGACGAAGACAUGUGUAAAUAUCCGUUUUUCCUUACUUUUUUCUGCACGGUUUUUUAUCACCUGUAUACAGUGUUCUAAAAAUCGUCGAGUCUGUCGAGUACUCAUUCCGAGUACUUGUUUUUUACCCCUCAUCCGAUCCGAGUUCCGAGUCGGUUCAAAACCGAUUUAUUAAAAAAUCGGUCAAAACUCGGUUUGACUCCGAGUACUCGAGGUCAAAUCCGAGUUUGACUUAUCAAUUUUUUUUAUUGUUUUAUUUGAAAAUUAUUUCAAAAGAGACUAAUCGUAAAUUUAUAUAUGUUUUGUUCUUUUUUUUUUUUUUUGCAAAGUAUUGACAUUAAUUAGACAAUAUAUGUGUUUUAUCAUUAGAACUUGCGAAUGAUUAUUAUGUCAAAAACUAUCAAACAAGUAACUUUUAUUUGAACUUCAUUAUUCCAGGUGUGUUAUUAAAAUAUUAAUAUUAUUAAAUAGUUUUAUUAUUAAUCAGCAUAUAACUAUAUAUGAGAGAAAAAAUUAAUUAAAAAAAUACCCGAUUAAUUAUCCGAUAACUCAUUCUGAAUACUCCCCCGAGUUCCGAGUCCUCAUUUUUCCGGAACCAAACCGAGUUGGACCGAGUUCCGAUUUUUACAAUUUUGCCUGUAUAUAUAUCAUUUUAUGCAGCUCCUACAAGGAGCGGAAUACUUUGCUCAAUAUGGGAAGGUGCUUAAAGUGUCAGUCUCUUGUACCGCAAUUGGUACCAUUCAACGAUUUUCAAAUAGCACUUGUAGUGUGCAAGUGUUUGUUAUGCUCAUUGAAAUGACUUUUAAGAUUGCAAGUAUAAUUAGGCCAACAUAUAACAAUAAUUUUUGAGUAAAAUGUAUUAUGUGUACCUGCACUUUGUGCGUGACACCACUUGCAAUAUUAAUUUUUAAUAAGUAUUAGUUGCAAUAUUCAAGUUUCAAUUUUUUUUUACAAAGCGUGGCUCUCCGUCAAUUUUAACUAACGGUGUUAAUUUCUUGAAAGACUUUCAUGUCUUUUUCAGAUAUUUAUGUUUAUCCCAAAUUCAAAACCCAGUUUAAGACUUAAGAAACCUACUUUCUAAAUCAAACUAGAGCCUGAUUAUCCGAUGCACAUAAAUCAACAUAACAUAAGCUUUUUUUUUUUUUAGGCCUGAUUAAUGCGUUGACUCUCUUUGUCUGAAUGUCGUUCGUGAUUAGUAGGUAGCGACCCAAUAUGAGGAUGUAAAGGAUAUGGAAUCAAAGAUGAACCACUUACAUGAAUGUGAAAUCUCAUGCAUUUCUUUUGGAUCGAAUAACCGAGAAGAAGUUAUAUACAAGAACAAAGGUGUCUAUGAUUUCAGCCCCCAAGGCCGUGCCUUUGGAGUAACCAUCUGCAAUAGAGUCGGUUCCACCCCAUUCCUAUUAUAAUUGCUUCAUGAAAGCAUUAGCUAACCCCAUUAUACAAAUUGCUCCCAAACACUGUGCCACCAUGUAGCCCAAAGCUCGCAUCAGUGUUACUUUUCUUGCCAAAAACAACCCAAAAGUCACUGCUGGAUUAAUAUGACACCCUACAAAUUUAGUUGCAGGAUUUUUGCAUUUGCAAGACCGACUGCUUGAUGAAAUUAGAGCAGGUCAGGAUGGGAGGUGGUUGUGAAUUUGUUUGCCUGAUUCUGGAGUCAUUGCAUUUAUUUAGGGAUUUAGAGGUAGAUAAAAAUAAGUUUGGGUUUAGAGGUUGUAAGAAGUUUGCACACCAUGUGUUUGAUGAUACGGUGUAAAGAGAUAACGGUGAUUUAAGUUAAUUUAAGUCAAUAUAACUAUUGAAAUGGAGAAUUGACGGCAAUGUCCUUAUAUAAAUAUUAACUGUGUUAGUAAAAAUUGCCGGAGAGACACAUUUUGUAAAAAAAAUCAAAAUUUCAGUAUUGCAAAUGAUACCUAUUAAAAGUUGAUAUUGCAAGUGAUGUCACGCACAAAGUGCGAGUACACAUAAUGCACUAAACUCAUAAUUUUUUUAUAAUUGUGUGUCUAAUAGAUCCCUUGAAUAUAAAAUCGUCGUAAAAAUUUGAAGCCAAACAGCAAGCUUUUAGGUAUAAAUUUGGACAAUGACGAUCUUGGAUAUGUGUAUUUAGAUUCUUAUACAUGUCUGAAGUUAAAGUUAUUAGAAGUAAACAUUUAAUUAUUUAUUAUAUACUCCAUUCAUCUCGGAAUGAUAGUUUUGUUUUAAUUUGACUUAUUAAAAUUUACUAAAUUUUGAGCAAUAAUUACACAUAUUCUAUAAUUAAAAAAGUUAUAAAUUAUAUAGUUAGAAAAUAUAUUUAAUCUUUUUUAAAAUAGAUUUUCAAUUUUUAAAAAUUAUAAAUUUAUUUUUUAUUAUAAUACAAAAUUGGAUAAUUUAAUUAUUGAAAACAAUGAAAAGUAAAAAGGGUAGUACCGUAUCUAGAAACCUGACGCAAGUACAACUUAUAAACUUAUAAAGUACAUAGGAAUCAAAAAGCAGUGGAUCUAUCGGUAUUAUAAGGUACCAAGCGAUGUACUGAAUUUAGCAAUUAGGGGUUUGGAUACACAGUAAACAUGAGGAUGCUCAAGAGAGUUGGAAGAUUAGUGAUGCGAGAGCGAGAGCAUAUAAAUUAUAUACUACACAGGUGUAUAUCAUCACCAGCAAUAUAUGAUGUCGCCAACAGAUCUAUCCCUCUGCUGCAGGACACCCAACUUGACGGUUUUACAGGUUACCAAAUUUCUGUUAACUCUUCAAUUAUAUUGUAUGUAUAUGCAUCGUAUUCGGUUAUCAGGGCUUUUCCUUCCAACUGCAUAAUAUGAUCCACUUUGAUUCUUGAAAUUUGAUUCCUUCCAACUCUAGUAUUUUGGGCAUUACUUGUGAAAAUUGUGGUAUAUGGGGCCUUUUCCUUUAUUUCCCGGCGUUAAUCUAAUCUAGUAUAAUAUUGCGUGAAUGCUUAAGUAAUAACACGAAUGUAUUAUUUGUUGUAAUUGAACUAGGCACAACAAAUUUGGUUCUUUAGAGCAAGUCCAAGAAGAAUCCUUAUCCACAAGCUCUAUUAUUAAAAUACUAAUAUAUUAGAAUUGCAAGAGCAAAUGAAGUGUGGAAAGAGAGGGUAUUAUAUUCAAUUUUUAAAACUAAAAUGAGGCUUGUGUAAUUAAGGCAGAUGAAAGAUGUCCUAGCAAUUUAAGGCAUUUUUAGGACACCGGUGGAGCUUUUAUUUUUGUCAAUAACCCUAAAUUUUGAUUUAGGACACCAAAUAAGACAUUUGUUGGACUUGCUCUUAUGUUACAAUAAUCUAUAUGAUAACUACUUCACUAUUAUACAAUAGCUUUAUGACCAUGUUUGUUUGAAAUGAUUAUAAUCCUAGGAUAACUACAUUGUUUUCUUUAAAUUUAAAGGAUUAUCAUCUCAUGGGAUUUUAUUUCCAUCACUUUUUUUUUAAUUCAAUUCCAAUCCCAUGGAAACGAACUAAACCAAUUGAUUAGGAUAUGAAUUCAUGAGAUUAUUAUCCUUGACAAUUGAGAUAAACAAGGUAAUAAUUGGGGGAUUAUAAUCCCUCCAAACAAACAUGACUUAUCUAUGUCGAGUACAAUGAAUAGUUUUUUAACUUAAUUAAUGAUUAACAUACGACAUAUUUGUUUUACUGAAACUAUAUAGAAUAAAUUUUUUACUUAUAUAUAUAAUGGGAUUGCUAGACCUGAGGUAUGAAGGUUACAAGGUUAAACAAAUGCUAAUAUAAACUAGGGGUAAUUGUCAAGGUAUCGCCGUGGUGAAAAAUGUAGAAUUAUAGAUGUAUUAAUAUAUGUGGGGUAGCACUUUAUAGCAUACCCUCUUAUACAGAGUUUUGUGGUAUACCACUAUAAGUAUAUUCAUACUACAUAUAUUUAUUAUAUUUUUCAUUGAAUAUGAAUACAAAUUUUAAUCAUUGAAUUUAAAAAAAAUACAAUUUUUUAUUCCAAAAAUCAUUGAAAAUUGUGCAAAAUUCCAACAUGAUCUUACAACAGAAUAAUAGUUAUCCAGAAUUAUUCUGCUAUAGAACUGGUUUUGAAAAUCAACUUUUUUGUUCAAACUUUAGGUGUUAAAUUAUUUAUAAUAUAUAUGCUGUAAUAUUCUAUAUUAGAAUCACAUUUUAACUGUAUUGUGUAAUAAAAUUUAUAAUAAUAUUAAUGGUUUAUAAUGGUGUACUACGUAAGUACAUAUAAGAAGGACCUUAAUGGAAUGUUGGCCAAUAUAUGUGUAUUAAUUUGCAGAAGUAUUGUUUUAUAUCUCUUGUAUAAAACUAACUUAUAUUCCGUGGGAUGCACGAGUGACUUGUAAUAUGAUUUUUUUAAUUGUGCAUGUUCUAAUAUUAAUUUGUUUGUGAAAAUACAUUUAUUUUACAUGCUAAAUAAGUUUUUAAUAAUUAAGCCCGUGAAAAAAAAUUACAAAUAAAAAGACCCAAGAAAUAUAUUUUACCGAGAUGGAGAUAUGUCUUAGCUGUGAAGCAGGGAUACGACAAACUACUGAAAAAUCACAGGGGGGUGCGCGCACCUUGCGGGGGUGCGCAGCGGUGCGGCAGGGGGUGCGGCAGGUGGCGUCAAAACAUGUUAUAAAAUUAAAAGACCAAUAAACUGAUCCAAAUACUGACCAACCAAAACAUAUGGUGUCGUCUUAAAUAGUAUAUAGAUUCUAAUUAAAAGACUCUGAAAUGGUUCACUGAAAAGUUAAAAACAAAUUAAAAUAUAUUUCCGGAUGAUUACAAUUUAUUUCUUGUAAUAUCAUUUUAUGUAUGUCAAAACUCAUCAAAUUUUUGAACUUGAUCUGACAGAGGACCAUAGAAGUACAUACUACAAAUUGGAGAAAAAAACAAAAAAAGAAUCUGAUUUUGAUAUAGCGGUAAGGAAUUUUACCAAUCUCUCAAUAGAGAUGAAGAAACAGAAUAUUAAUCAGAAAGAGCUUACAAGUGUCAGUAGCGGAGAUAUUGUUAAUCUACAUGAGCUUUUGUUUACCAAAAACAGGGACUAUCUAAUCAAAUUCAAUGGGGACCAGGUACGUGUGCAUGAUUUUAUAUUCACACAUACAUACAUAUAUAUAUAUAGGCCAACAUUCCAUGGAGGGACUCCUUAUAUGAAGUUACAUAGUACACCAUUGUAAAUCAUCUAUUUUAUUAUAAAUUCUAUCAUAGAAUACAUAUAAAACGUGAUUCUAAUAUAGAAUACUAUGACAUAUAAAUGUUUUAAGUAAUUUAACACUUAAAAUUUGAUGAAAAAAGUAUAUUUUCAAAACUGAUUCUACAACAGAAUAAUUCUGGAUGAUGAUUAUUCUGUUAUAGAAUCAUGUUGAGAUAUUGCAUAAUUUUAGAUGAUUUCUGGAAUAAAAAAAUUGUAUAACUUCGUUUUUUGUUUAAUAAUCAAAUUUUGUAAUUAUAUUCCAUAAAAAAUAUAAUAAAAUAUAUAUUAUGUAUAUAUUUAUAAUGGUGUGCUAUGUAACUCCAUAUAAGAGGGUAUGCUAUGGAGUGCUCAAAUACAAACCACUAAAAUAAAAACUAAAUACAAACCAAGAGAAACUAUCCCUAAAUGACAUCACCCACCCCCUAUAUGUCAUCACCCACCUAGGGCACACCCUCGCCCUCACUCAAUCCACUCGGGGCCGGCUAGGGCCUUGCCAUGACUCCUCACAGGCCCUGGACUAGCUCCAGACAGCAUUAAGAGCCAAAACUUGGCCCCACCAUGGUCCCACUAGGCCCCGCCCCGACCCUACUAGACCCCGUCUAGGCCCAUCUCGGGGUCCAUCCCUGGUUCCAAGUUCAAUUUUGACCAAUUUAGUUAUGUGAGAGGUUUUGUGAUAUUCCUUCAUUGCUUAGUUUGAGGGGCAAAUCAAUUCUUGUGCAAGGAGAGGGAUGCGGUCAUUCCGUGGACUUAUUCAAAUAUCAAAUUGUUAGUUAGUUUUAUCAUUUAUGCAAUAAGCACUGUACCAAAUAAAAACAAUUAUAAGCUACUUGCACAAACAAGCCGAAAUCUAAUAUCUCGUCUUUUAUUUUGCAUGGCGAUAAUAUGAAAUCUAGAACAGUUUGGAUGACAACUCAAGCGCCAUUGUGAAAUAUCCACAAAGCCUAUUGAUAAAUUAUAUUUUUUUUAUAUAUAUAUAUAUCCUACAUCACUUUAGCUCCAAAAUAUACUUCUUUAAAAUGCAUGACUUGUGUUGUGUCUGACUGGCUUUUGAAAUUGUACCUGGAAGCUAGAAUGAGAUCCACCUAUGUAACAGCUAUAAACAUGUGUUUUCAGCUUAUCAACUUAUAACAAGUAUAUACUCUGUAGGUGAAGGCUGAGCAGUUUGCUGACAAGGUUAUCGUUAUAUAUUUUGUGUUACUGCCACUUGUUGAUAAUAAUUCUGCUGAGCGGGUGGGGCUGAUCACAGAAAGAUUAAAGGAUGUAUACAACUUUCUACCACCUAACAAAGGUUUCGAGAUCGUUUUUGUGGCUGUUGAUGAUGAUGACACUAGCUUUGAAGAAGAAAUGUUAUUUGAUCCUUUACCUAAAACAGACCUUGAGAAUGAUUUUGAAGAGGUAUUUUCUUGCAUGCCCUGGACUGCCAUUCCAUUGUCUGAUAGAACAUCCAGGGAACGUCUGCAGAAAAGAUUUGGUUUUAGGGAUAAGAACGGUAGCCUGUUUGUAAUUGAUUCAACAGGGGUCGUUUUGCAGACAAUUGUCAUUUCUGAUUUUAAACGAUAUGGAAGUCUAGGAUAUCCUUUCAGCAAUGAGAGGCUCAAAUCCCUGGAAUCUGAAUGCAAAGCAAUCGCUGCAGAACCCACAGUAGAAAAACUUCUGUCUUCCCCUGAACGAGACUAUGUCAUUUCGAAUAACGGGGACAAGGUAUACCAUGCACACUUUAUAACAAUUGGUGAUAAGGGCAUAUCCACGAGUACCUUGUUGUAGUCAAUUAAUUUCUUUUUCAUUUGUACAUCCAGUUGAGUUUGGAUAAUAAUAUUUUCCUUUACACUUCCUACUGUUACAUUUAUUGUUAGGUACCUAUUCAUACACUUGAAGAUAAGGUGGUAGCUCUAUACUUCCACGCAGGCAACGUAACUGAAACUGAUAUGCUUACAGAAGAACUUAGGAAUGUAUAUGAAGAGUUGGCUGAAAAAGAAGUUAAAUUUGAGGUUGUGCUUCUUUACCUUUGUGACACACCCAUUACUAUUGGAUUUAGAAAUGAAGAUUCAUUCUGGAGAACUUUUGGAACUAUGCCUUGGUUAGCUCUCCCCUAUAAAGACCCUAUCCUGAAGAAGUUGAAAAUAAUUUACAAGUUUCCUGAGGAUUAUAUUUAUGGUGAUGAUGAGGAGAUCUCCAAGCUUGUAAUUGUCGGACCUCAUGGAGAAUUUUGUGAACCAUGUGGAGCCGACAUUUUGUUGAACUAUAGAGUUCCAGGAUACCCCUUCACGCGUGAAAAAGCUCUUGAGUUAGAGACCGAAAGAAUAAAGAAAUUGAAGUUAGAGAUGAUUUUGGAGACGAACAAGGUCUUGACUAGAAAUGACGGAUCCAAGGUAUGUUCUCUUGACGUCUUGAUGCAUUAUUCAAAGAGUUUGGUAGAAAUUCUAUCUUCUCUUAUUCUAGUUCCUAAAGCCACUUCCAUGGCGCCUAUUAAAGAAGAUUGAAACUGGUUAAUAAAUCAUAAUUUUUUGUUCUUUAACGGCACCUGUUACAGUUAUAUGGUGCAUUGUUGUCCAAUUUUUCAGUACAUGUCAACUUAUCAAUUCCACUUUAAUAGGUUUCGCUCUCUCAACUUGCUGGCAAGAGGAUUAUGCUUUUAUUUGGUCUAUUUGAAGAUGAGUUCCUAAACAUGUUGAAAGAAAGGUAUCUCUCUAUGAAGAGUACAGAUGGUGAAUUUGAAGUAAUCCACAUCUAUGUAUCUGACACUGAUGAUGUUGUAGAAAUUUGAAGUAAUCCACAUCUAUGUAUCUGACACUGAUGAUGUUGUAGCCCCGCCGGCCUGGUUUGUGUAUCCUCUGCCAAAAGGCUUCCGCUAUGCUUCUGAUAUUAUACCUGCUGCCUUUGAUAAACGAUACUUUAGACAAGAAGAGAUUUACGAUGUUGGAGAUAGGAGAAGACUGCUUGCUUUUGAUCGAGAUGGAAUGAUAGUCAGAGACUCGGCUUUUCCGACGAUUGAAGAUAUGAAUUUCCCCUUCUACACCAGUGGGUUGGAAAAGGAAGCCUUACUAGAAUUAGAUUCUGUGUUCCAUUGGUACGAAUGGGAAGACACUGAGAGUUGGAACCGUGAGGCAGGGUAUAUUGGACCAAACCAGUCUUGCGGAUGAUCGGUUGGAUCCAUUUCCGACUUGGGCCAGACUACUGACUAUGUAAUUAUUAAAUAUCAUAUUGACUAUAUCGAUAAAAAGAUUCAUUCUUUUCAUAAAUAAAGGAUAUAAUAAUUGGGUCGCGGUCCACAAUCAUUAAUGGUUGUGGACGAGUUAUACAACGAUCAGGAUUAUAGUAGCAUUAUUUUAAUACGUAUGUUGCUUUUUAACCGUUGAACUGGUCUCGUUCAGCGUUUAAAAAUCAUUGUACAUGUCAUUUUCCCCGUGCAACGGUUAAAAAGCGUCGUAUGCAUUGUGUAUGCAUUGUAAAGGUACAAUAUAAUCCUAGCUGCGGGAUGUUUAUC
rnacentral:lncRNA from 1 species